UGCGUAGGCGGUUUAUUAAGUCAACUGUUAAAUUUCUCAGCUUAACUGGGAGUGUGCGGUAGAAACUGAUAGGCUUGAGGGUGGAAGAGAGAAGUGGAAUUCUCGGAGUAGCGGUAAAAUGCGUAGAUCUCGAGAGGAACACCGAUGGCGAAGGCAGCUUCUUGGUCCAUUUCUGACGCUGAGGCACGAAAGCGUGGGGAGCAAACA
rnacentral:rRNA from 1 species